CGCUGGUUACGUUUGCAAAGUAUUUGGAGAUCCUUCAGGAUACGAGGAGCACGUACAAGAUACUUACCCACCAUGGCGGUCUCUCCUUGUGAUGCAGGGUGGGCAAAUGCAUCAUGGAAGUUCCUGUCCACGUGGAAAACAGCUUCGCUACACGACAGCCAUGACCAGCAACAGAAGAUAGAGAAACUCACUGCCCUUCGAUGGUGCACUGAUCAGCAGUCAAAUGUGUUUCCUGCGAUUCCUCUUUGCUUGAAGCACCAUUGGUAGUUCUUCUGGAAUCUGUUGCACUUUUCAGUGUGGGUUUCUGAGUGAGACCCAAAAUUAUCCUGGUAAUAAACUACAGCUGUUCACUGGACAACUUCCAACUCCUUCUCAUCUUUGAUUUAGAAUGUCUGUGAUUCUGUAGGUAAAGCUGGAGACAGAAAUAUAUUGGGACCUUCUUCCGAGCCAAAACAAAUUCCCAACGUUACACACAUACACCCUCCACUCCAGCAUUUGGAUGCAAGAGCGUAUCCAAACAUUUGAGGUUGACAUUUUUGAAGGUGGUUAAAGGAAUUAGGCACUGAACCCUUUCAGAAACAUAGGACUGGCCAGACUGGAUCCAACUCCUGGUCUCUCUUGUCCAAUAUCUUGUUUCCAACAACAGCCAGAAUCAGAGUGCCGAAGAAGUGGGCUGUAGUCCACGAAAGCUUAUGCUCUAAUAAAUUUGUUAGUUUCUAAGGUG